GCAUUAGUGGUAUAACGGUUAGCAUGUGUUCUUCGUAUCGAAAUAACCGAGCACUUGUGGUCGCAUUCUGGGUUCGAUUCCCGGUUGAUGCG